rnacentral:rRNA from 1 species
UGUUCAGGGGUAAACCUGUGGUUCCCGAAAGUUCGAACGGGGAGAUUCAAUUGCCUCGCCGGUUAUGACCAUUUAACAGUGAUAAGUUUAUAUAUGAGACAUUAGAUAACGGUUGCGGUUUAUUCCGUAGCUGCUUUAUAUAGUGCUCCGCUGUUUUAUGCAAUAAGUUUAUAGCCGGAGGCAUGCACUUCUCCCCUUGUAGGACGUCGUGACCCAUUGGAUUAUGUUGUCUAAGGCUCAUAAUGGAGACCGUGGCAUUGGGGUUUCGGCUCUUGAUGACCCGGACUUAUGAUGUCCCGACAUCUAUCCGAUGGUAGGAUAAUGAUGAUGGGCCGCUAUUUAUAGCGCGAGCGUUCAGAUCCAUAACAAAUGCCUAUAUUGGAAUAAUAGUGGAAUUCGGAUUUUAUGCCGUUUCUGCACAUGUGGUAUUGUUAGUUGUGGUAUUCUCGAACUGUUCCUUAUCAUCGGUCUACGGCGUUUAUGUUUUGGGUAAUUACAGGACCCGUCUUGAAACACGGACCAAGGAGUCUAGCAUGUGCGCGAGUCAUUGGGAUUAUGUGAAACCUAAAGGCGUAAUGAAAGUGAAGUAUUUGUGAAUUUUCGUAAUUCACUGAUUUUAAGGGAAGAUGGGUAACGGAAUUUAUGUUACCCCGCAUUCCCGGGGCGUCGCGUACUUAUUGCAAGUUGCGGCGCACCAAGAGCGUACACGCUGGGACCCGAAAGAUGGUGAACUAUGCCUGGUCAGGAUGAAGUCAGGGGAAACCCUGAUGGAGGUCCGUAGCGAUUCUGACGUGCAAAUCGAUCGUAUGAACUGGGUAUAGGGGCGAAAGACUAAUCGAACCAUC